rnacentral:rRNA from 1 species
AACGCGAAGAACCUUACCAGGAUUCGACAUGCCCUCUAUGGACGCCCGAAAAGGCGUCCUUCACUUCGGGUGGGAGGAGCACAGGUGCUGCAUGGCUGUCGUCAGCUCGUGUCGUGAGAUGUUGGGUUAAGUCCCGCAACGAGCGCAACCCUCGUCCUCUGUUGCUAACGCGUAAUGGCGAGAACUCUGAGGAAACUGCCGGUGAUAAGCCGGAGGAAGGUGGGGAUGACGUCAAGUCCUCAUGGCCCUUACAUCCUGGGCUACACACGUGUUACAAUGGCGGUGACAAUGGGUCGCGAUCGCGCAAGCGCUAGCCAAUCCCAAAAAGCCGCCUCAGUUCGGAUUGCACUCUGCAACUCGAGUGCAUGAAGCUGGAAUCGCUAGUAAUCGCGGAUCAGCACGCCGCGGUGAAUACGUUCCCGGGCCUUGUACACACCGGAGUGC